rnacentral:rRNA from 1 species
AGAGUUUGAUCCUGGCUCAGGACGAACGCUUGCGACGUGCCUAAGAAAUGCAAGUCGAACGGGGUAGCAAUACCUAGUGGCGAACGGUCGCGUAACACGUGGGCAACCUGCCCCAGAGCGGGGGAUAACACUCCGAAAGGAAUGCUAAUACCGCAUGUGGCGGCUCUCUGCAUGGAGAGUUGGCUAAAGAUUUAUCACUC